UCAAUUCUGGCCGCAAAAUGGUGGACCGGAAAGAGAAGAUAAGGUCUCUUUGAACCUGACGGAGGAGAUUCUCCAAAGCAUGGAAGUAGGGCUGGCUUUCAGGGACUACAAUGGUAGAAUCAGUUCGUUGGAUUUUCUCAAGGCUUUGAGUUAUGUAGUGACUGCUAGUGAUGAUGAGUCUAUUUCCUUAUAUGAUGUCUCCACUGCAGCGUAAGAUGCUUGAAGACCAUUAACAGCAAAAAGUAUGGGGUUGAUUUGGUUUGCUUUACUUCCAUCCUACCACGGUUAUAUACUCGUCG